rnacentral:rRNA from 1 species
AGCAUAUCCUUUACGCGGUCUACGAUGCCAUCGAAGCUGACGUUCUCCUUCUCCAAUGUAUCACGACGCAUAAUCUCGAUGGUGUUGUUCUCCAAGUCACGGCCACCCAUAGCGAGACGUACAGGAACACCCUUCAACUCAUAGUCAGCGAACUUGAAGCCAGGACGCUUGGCAGGGUUGUCAUCAUACUUCACGGUGAUGCCCAACUCUCGGAGCUGGUCGAUGACAGGCUGCAACUUAGCAGUAAUCUGCGCCAACUGCUCUUCGCCCUUGUUGAUAGGAACGAUAACCACCUGGAUAGGAGCCAGCUUUGGACUGCGAACCUGUUGAUCUUGUUAUCAACUCUCAUCUUUUUAGAAAGGUGGGAGUUUUUUUAUCUUAAUUUAUUUUGUCCUUCACCUAUUUUGUUGUAACUUUGCAGGCAGAAAUUCGAUCCGGUAAGGCUAAAUACUCCCGUGAGACCGAUAGCGAACGAGUACUGUGAAGGAAAGGUGAAAAGAACCCCGAGCAGGGGAGUGAAAUAGUUCCUGAAACCAUACGCCUACAAGCGGUCGGAGCAUCUUACGAUGUGACGGCGUGCCUUUUGCAUAAUGAUCCUACGAGUUACCGUCACUGGCGAGGUUGAGUGUCACGAGACACGUAGCCGCAGUGAAAGCGAGCCUGAAUAGGGCGCACAGUCAGUGGGGGUAGACGCGAAACCAAGUGAUCUACACUUGGCCAGGAUGAAGUCCCGGUAACACGGGAUGGAGGUCCGCACCAAUAAGCGUUGAAAAGCUUCUGGAUGAGCCGAGUGUAGGAGUGAAAGGCCAAUCAAACUUGGAGAUAGCUCGUACUCCCCGAAAGGCAUUUAGGUGCCGCGUCGGAUGGUCACCGUGAGAGGUAGAGCGACCGAUAGGACAAGAGGGCUUCACCGCCUAUCGAGUCCUGACGAACUCCGAAUGCUCACGGUCUGCAGUCCGGCAGUAAGGGGGCGGGUGCUAAGGUCCGUCCCCGAGAGGAGAAGAAUCCAGACCGCCGUCUAAGGUCCCGGAGUUCUGCCUGAGUUAGUCUAACGAAGUCUGGUCCCUAUGACAGCUAGGAUGUUGGCUUGGAAGCAGCCAUUCAUUCAAAGAGUGCGUAACAGCUCACUAGUCGAGGGUCCGGGCAUGGAUAAUAAUCGGGUAUAAGGCAGACACCGAAGGCGCGGGAUAGCAUUUAAGAAAGUAUCGGUAGGGGAGCAUACUCACAGCGUCGAAUGGUGUACGUAAGUUAUCCUGGAGCGGUGAGUAAAGCAAAUGUAGGAAUAAGUAACGAUAAGGAGGGUUAGAUUCCCUCCCGCUGUAAGACCAAGGUUUCCCGGGCAAUGCCAAUCAGCCCGGGGUCAGUCGGGUCCUAAGUCUAAGCCGAACGGCGAUGGCGAUGGCAGAGACGGUUAAUAUUCCGUCACUGCCGCAUGGGGCGACGUGGAGACGGAGCAGUGAAACCACCGCGGGGCGACGGAAGUCCCCGUUGAAGAGUGUAGGUGUUGAGGAUGGCAGGCAAAUCCACCAUCCGAGCUGAACUUGACAGUACGGAGUCCUCCUCGGAGGAAUCUGAUAGUGUGGGUAAUCAUACUCCCGAGAAAAUCCGCUAAGCUUAACCCAUGCGGCACCCGUACCGCAAACGGACACACGUGGUCGGGUAGAACAUACUAAGGCGUUGAGAGAUUCAUGGUUAAGGAACUAGGCAAAUUGACCCUGUAACUUCGGGAUAAAGGGUCCUCGUGAUGAGCGAGGCGCAGAGAAUAGGUCCAGGCAACUGUUUAACAAAAACACAGGGCUGUGCAAACUCGAAAGAUGACGUAUACAGCCUGACACCUGCCCGGUGCCGGAAGGUUAAGAGGAGAUGUCACUCGCAAGAGGAAGCAUUGAAUUGAAGCCCCGGUAAACGGCGGCCGUAACUAUAACGGUCCUAAGGUAGCGAAAUUCCUUGUCGGGUAAGUUC